rnacentral:rRNA from 1 species
CAUCGCCCAUCAUACUACGGGAGUUGUCUAUGCCUGCACGGAUCACCUUAAUUUCAAGGAUGGGGAUGUCGAAGGUAGGGAUUUGACUGGAGUGAGUUGUAACACUGUAAUCGUACUGGAAAGUGAGGCUG